UCACAAGGGCUGUCCCGCUCAUCAAGCGCGGUGAACACGCUCAGCAGAAGAGCUGCUUUCAGAGUCCCAGGACCGGGCCCCUCUCGUGGAGCUGCUGUCUCAGGGCCCUGACUGACACUGCCCCCUCCACUGCUCAGCAGACUACUCAAAGAAGCUGUAAUUUGCCAUCUGUUUUUCAUCUGUCCAAAGAGCUUGCACGUGCCAUUCUUCUGAGGGCUCUUGAGAAGAUGGUGUAACAGUCUGAGGAAUCCAGACAUAAUGAUUCGGUUGCUCAGCUCAGACUUCUUGAGGCAUUUUCUCCUGAGACGUUGUGAGGACAGAAGAAAGGAAAGACAUCACUUCCCUCUGCACAUAUUGAAAAAGUGGGCGUGAUUGCUCCCUCCUCUGAAUUCUGCUGCGCCUUUGCCAUGUCUUCUGAGCUGCUGUUCACAUGUGCCGGGAUUGUGCAAAGGCUCUGUGUGCAUGCAUUCCUUGUGUGGUAAGUGCGCAUAUUUGGAUUCACCAGGAUGUUUUUGAUUGCUGGUGACAGAAACUGGCUCUCCUUUGUGUAUGGAACUUUAUCCUCUUCCACUGAAGAGUUUUCCUCUCUGUGGGAGGGAGUGUGAACACUGCCAACUCCAGGUUUAUUUCAUCACCACUCUCCCUGGAAGAGCCUCUCUCUCGUUCUUGUGUCAGAAAGCACAGAAGUGUCCUAUUGGCCCUGCCUGGGUCACAUGCCCAGUCCUGUGAAUGGGAAAGGGAUUGGUGAAGACUUGGUCACGUGCUCACCCUUCAGCCAGGACAUAGCCCACUGUGCUUGGUAACCUUGCUAAAACCAUAUAACUACAGUGGGAGGAGUCCGAAAGGGAUGUGGAAGGGAGUGCUGGGAACAUGAGUGAAAUAGAAUUUACUAAGCUACCUUGUAAUGGCUUCUAUUUUUAGUGUGUCUACAGAUUAUACAUGCUGUAAGACCUUUCAAAUAUGCUAUUUCUGAUUCCCUUAAUAGUCAGUCAAGGUGGGUACUGUGCUGCUGUUUUUAAAGAUGAGAAAGCUAAGCUUAGAGAGCUUAAGUAACUUGAGUAAGCCACAUAACCAGCAAGUGGCUAGUCCAGGAUUCAAACAUAGGGUGUUUAUCCCCAACAUCCAAGGUGGUUCCAUUGUAUUAUUGUUCCUGGUGAUAGAGGUGAGCCAUUACGAGAUGUAAAGAGUAGACAAGCUCACAUAUUCUUACCUGUGAGUUUUAUAAGUCAGACAAGUUGGUUAAGCUACAAUAGCACAGUCCCCAAGUCUCAGUAGCUUAAAACUACAAGGUUUUUCUUCUUACUCAGUGUAUAUAUCUGAUAUAAGUUAGCAAGAGCCAUGCUUGUCACAACAGCCCAGGGGCAGGGCUGAUGGAACAGCCACAUGUCUAAUAGUGCCAGUCACCUGCAGAAAGAAAAGAUGCUCUGGGGAGUCUAGAAUCUUCUUCUUACAACUCUUUUGCCAGAAGUAGCCACAUGGCAUCAUCCUAAGCACGAGGUGGGGGGUGGGAGCAAAAGUGCAUAUUUACCAUGCAGCAUCCAAAGAAGUCAUAAAAAUGCAGACAGCAACAUUAAAGAGUUAUUUAAGAUAAUUCCGUGAUUUGAUAUGAUAAUGCUCUCUUGUAUCAGUGUAUUAUUUAAAAAUGUGCCAUAAAGUU